rnacentral:rRNA from 1 species
GACGAACGCUGGCGGCGUGCUUAACACAUGCAAGUCGAGCGGUAAGGCCCUUUCGGGGGUACACGAGCGGCGAACGGGUGAGUAACACGUGGGUGACCUGCCCUCAGCUCCGGGAUAAGCCUGGGAAACCGGGUCUAAUACUGGAUAUGACUCCAUGACGCAUGUUGUGGGGUGGAAAGCCUUGUGCGGCUGAGGAUGGGCCCGCGGCCUAUCAGCUUGUUGGUGGGGUGANGGCCUACCAAGGCGACGACGGGUAGCCGGCCUGAGAGGGCGACCGGCCACACUGGGACUGAGACACGGCCCAGACUCCUACGGGAGGCAGCAGUGGGGAAUCUUGCGCAAUGGGCGAAAGCCUGACGCAGCGACGCCGCGUGAGGGAUGACGGCCUCGGUU